UAAUCAGAAGUUUUAAAGGCCACGUGAGGAAGAUGCUGCGGCAUGCGGAAGCAUCAGCCAUCGUGGAGUAUGCAUACAAUGAUAAAGCCAUUUUGGAGCAGAGGAACAUGCUGACGGAAGAGCUCUAUGGGAACACGUUUCAGCUUUACAAGUCAGCAGAUCACCCAACUCUGGACAAAGUGUUAGAGGUACAGCCAGAAAAAUUAGAGCUUAUUAUGGAUGAAAUGAAACAGAUUCUAACUCCAAUGGCCCAAAAGUAAGAAAGUUGUUUUUGUUUUGUUCUUAAGAAAUGACAUUCAAAGGAGGAAGGUUUUCCAUAACUGUUGCCCAGAAGAGGUAGCUAUUUCCUGCUUACAAGUAUUAAUCUGUCCUAAAUAAGAGUGCAAAAGUGUUGGUUUGAAACCAUUCUUGGUGCAAAAGGAGAUUUCUUUUUCUGAUAUUGUACCCUAUAAAAUG
rnacentral:sRNA from 1 species